rnacentral:misc_RNA from 1 species
GUGAGUCAUCGAAUCUUUGAACGCACAUUGCGCCUCUCUUAAAGGGGAGGCAUGCCUGUCUGAGCGUCAUUUAAACCAAUAAACCCGAAUGGGUUUGAGUUGGGCUUCGCCCGUCGGGCGUUGCCUCAAAGACAUCGGUCUUUAUGAGCGGACGAGAUCCAUUAGGACUGACCGUUCUGCGACCUUAAAACCUCUGACUUGACCUCAGAUCAGGUAGGGAUACCGCCUGAACUUAAGCAUAUCAAUAAGCGGAGGA